rnacentral:tRNA from 1 species
GCGGGGGUAGCCAAGCGGUAAGGCGAUCGGCUGCAGGCAAGUGCCUGGGAAGCUAGGUAUGACGAGCGCAGAAGCGCGAUGAGUGGCUGAUACCGAUGAUUCGGGGGUUCAAUUCCCUCCCCCCGCU